GAGAGGGCAGGUGCGCCUGCGCACAGCCGCAACCGCCAGUCAACUCGCUUCCCCUCCCUUCCUCUCCCCUCCCCCUCUCCUCCUCUUCCACAGACGCUUGGAGCGCGACGCCAACAUGGAGCCGGAGGACCUGCCAUGGCCUGACGAGCUGGAAGAGGAGGAAGAGGAGGAGGAAGAGGAAGGGAAGGAGGAGGCGGAGAAUGCAUCAGCGGCAGCGACCGAGGAGGCCCGGACCUCUGAGGAGACUGGGAGACUGGAAGAGGAAGAGUUGGAAGGGGCGGGUCCGGAGGUGGACUUGGAUUUUAACAGCGAGUCCCAGCUGCAAGAGAGCACGGACGAAGAGGAGGACGAGCUGGCUAAAGCCUGGCUGCAGGCUCACCCUGACCGUCCUGGCCAAGGUUUCUCUCUGACCCCGCCUCCGACUCCGCCUCCGUCCUCCCGGCACCAGUACAGGCCGGUAGAGCACUGGGGCAAGAGGGAGGUUAUUCCACUGACUUACCGUGCAUGGCAGCAGACAUCAUACCAAGAUAAUGCUAGAGCCCAGUUUUCCAACUCCAGUACAUUGUUAUUGGAGCCAGAAUUUCAGUGGGACCCUGAGGAGGUUCAGAGAACAGAGUCUUGGCAUCAUCUUCCUCAAGAAAGGGAUUCUUUCCAAACCUUGAAUAUAUCCCAGACUGGGAUCGACAGAGUAGAAGGAGCAGAAGUAAAAGACUUGCCCUCUCAGGAGGGAGGUGAAUCGGUUCAGGCACAGUGUCCAGUAAAGGAACCAAAGCUGGAUCUCUUGUGUUCUCCAUUGCUAGUGAUACAGGAUGACUUUGCUGCUCCUGAUUUGCCCUUGCUGACAUGUAUGACCCAAGACCAGGAGUUUGAACCUGAUUCCUUGUUUCAACAAAGUGAACUGGAAUCCUUUGAGAGGGAUUCCUGAUAAGUCUGAAGAUAUUGAAUGGCUUGCUCGACCGUCAGAAGUUAGUGAAGCUUUAAUCCAGGCCACCUCAGAAUCAUCUUCAGACUUAGUUAACAGUUGCUUUAGUAUAUCUCAGCAUCCACUCACAGAGGGCCUGCAGGGGAAGGCUAAAUCUGAUGUCCUUAUUCUGUUUGGUGAUGCUAAAUACGCCAGCAUAUAUGAAAAUGCUGGUGCACACAGUGAAAGAAUUACCGAAUUGCAAAGAGAGGUAGACUGUUCUAAUCUGAGCAUUACCCAGGCUUUUCCAUCUUCCUUGCCUUCAUUUGUUCCUCAAGAACCGACCAUUGAGUCAGAAUAUCAUUCCUCCAAUCUCAGAAUGUUGAGAGUAUCUCCCGACACUCUGCUGACAACUCUUACACAGACAACAGGAUCUGUUGACCAGAAGAUUGGAGCAGCUGCAAUCUCUUCUCCUUACUCACAUGGAGUACAGCCUGGCAGCUUUCCCCAAGAAGAGUUGCCAGAUAGGCAUCUUACCGAAGAGAUUCGGAAAGUGUCACCUGCUCCUAGGCCAGCUGGCCAGAAGCCUGAGAUGCCAACAGUACCAUCUAGUUCUUACUCUAAGGGAAUAAAAUCUGUUUUCUAUCGAUAUCCGAUGUCAUACAGUCCUCAAGGCAAAGAGCCUCCAAAUGUUUCAUCUGUUUCUGGAUCAGCUGAGAAUGCCCUGCCCCUAACAGUAACCUCUGUUUCCCAGCCACAGAGAGAGACAGCUAAAGCUUUCUACCAGCAAACAUUAUCAGACAGUCUUCUAACUGCAGAAACAUUGCCAGUUUCUGUUAUUCCUGAAUCAGGUGACCAGAAGACUCAUUUGCUAUCAGGGUUCUCUCUCUCAUAUUCUCACAGAGGAGAGGACCUGCCUGAAGAUGUAGUGAAAGUUUCCACUGAUUCUGGAUCUGUUGACAAGAAGGCUGACAUUCCAACAGUGUCCUCUAGUACCUACCAGCACAAAACAAAACCUGGUAUUAUUUACUACCAAGAGUUUCCAGACAGCCAUGUGCCUAUAGGGACUAGAAAGGUUGUAUCUCAGUCAGGAGCAGCUGGCCAGAAGACUGAUCUAUCAGCAGUGCCCUCUACUUCCUCUUCACAGGCAGAGAAGCCUGUUCCCCCCUCCCUGCUAACUUUGCUAGGUAGUCAUCUACCUGAAGAUGUUUUCAAAGCUUCUUAUGUUUGUAAGUCAUCUGAAGAGCCAUCUGGAAUAACAGCUCUGACCUCUGUUUCCUACUCAUAUAAAGGGAGACCCAAUAUUUCUCAUCAAGAGAAGUUUCCAGACAGUUACCUAAUUGAAGAGGCCCAGAAAAUCUUGGGUUCAACUGUAACAGUAGACCAGAAGACAGUGACAGCAAAAGAAAAGCCUAGUGUUUUCUACCAACAGGCCUUGCCAGAAGGUGGUCUAUCUGCAGAGGAUCUGCAAGUUGACCAGAACAUUGCUAUACCAAUGGUAACUUCUGCUUCCUUCUCACAAAGAGAAAAACCUCAGGUUUUCUACCAAGAGGCGCUCUCAGGUGGUCAUUUGCCUGGAGAGCCUCCUGGACCGCCCGACCAGAACACUGAGGCACCAACAAUAUCGCCUAGUUCCUACUUCCCUGGAGAAGAGUCCAUUAUUUUUUACCAAGCUGGCUUUCCAGGUAACACUCCAUCUGUAGUGCCUUUCAAAGUUUCAAGGAUUUCUGAAUUAGCUGAACAGAAGACUAACAUAACAACAGGACCAUCAGGUUCCUACUCAGUUGGAGAGAAGUCCAUUAUUUUCUACCAUCAGGCCUUGCCAGAUGGUCAUCUUUCUAAAGAAGCUUCUCCUGCACCAGCUGACCUGAAGACUGGGGAGCCACCAGUAUAUUCGGCUUCCUGUUCUGUUGAGGUAAAGCCCAUUAUUUUCUACCAGCAGCCUCUGUCGGAUAGUCCCCUAACUAAAGGUCACAACGUUUCAGUUGUUCCUGGACCAACUGACCAGAAGACUGGUAUACCAGCAGUGCCUUCUACUUCACAGUCAUAUAUAGAGAGGCGUUCUGUUUCUUACCAGCAAGAGUUUCCAAAUGUUAGUGAAAAAGCUUUGAAAGUUCUAGGUGGUGUUAGAUCCACUGAACAGAAAACUGAAAUACCAGUAGUGUCUUCUGCUCUCUUACACACAGAGGUACCUACUAUUUCUUCCCAAGAGGAUUUGCCAAAUCUUACUGAAGAAGCUUUGCAAAUUUUAGGUGUUGCUGAAGAAGUUCCUUCUGUCCCUUCACGUGAUAAGACACGUCUCAUCUCUUACCAGAAGAAGUUACCAGAUGGUACUGAAGUAUCUUUGAAAUCAGUAGGCUUUGGCUCUACUGAUCAGAAGACUGGGGCACACAUAGUCUCCUCCUCAAGAAGAGAGAAGUCCAGUGGUUUUCAUCAGCAGGAGUUGCCAAAUACUUGUGGGGAUGCAUUAGGUACUUUUCAUCCUGAACCAGUUGCCCAGAAGGUUGGAAAACCAACAGAACCUUCCAACAUACAGGGAAAGGCCAGUGCUUUGUCUCCACAGCAGUUGCCGGCCAGCCAUCUUACAGGAGAGGCUCUGAAGGUGUCAGACGGUUCUGCCUGUGUGGCACAGAUGCCUGAGGCACCAGCAGGACCGUCCAUUUUCUACUUCCAUAAAGAAAGGUUCAGUAAUUAUCAAAAGGCCUCACCAGAUUGUGAUCUAACUGAAAAUUCUUUGAAGUCUUCAACUGUUCCUGGAUUGUCUGAUCAGAAAAAGAGACCUCCAGUCUCAUCUGGUUCCUGUUCACACAAAGAGAAACACAAGAUUUCGGCUGCAGAUUUGCUGGAUGCCCAGGCGGCUGAACUGCCAACAGUUAUUCAGAGAUCCUGCUUACAUAGAGAAAAGCUGGCAAUUUCAACUGUGAUCAAACCAGAUGACCCAAAGAUUCCAUUACCAACAACUUGUCAUGCCUCCUGUGCUCAAAAAGUAAAACCUGUUAUUUUUGUUCAAAAACAGUUAUCAGGUAGAGAUCAAAGUGAAGAUAUUCCGAAGAUUUCAACUGUCUCUGAGCCAACUGUUGCAAACACAGGUGCACCAGUACUUCUGUCUAGUUCUUACCCAUACAGAGAGAAGUCAGAUUUCUCUUCCCCAAAGGAACUGCCAGAUAGACAUCCAGCUAAAGUUGACAUGCAGGCUUCAAGCAGUCUUGGACAAGCUGACCAGAUUUCUAGGUUACCUACAGUUCCUCCUGGUACUUAUUCACACAGUGAAAAGUACCAGCUUAUCUCAGAGCAUGUACAAGAGCUGAUUGAUAAUUUGAAUUCUUCUGAGUCUUGUCUCAAUGCAGACAUUAUGAUGCCUUCAAAUUCACAAAUUGAUGAUGGAGUUAUCAUAUGUAAGCCAGAAUCUUCACGUUUUGCCAAUGUUGGCUGUGAGGAAAUCCAGGAUAUAGAUCAUGGUUCCAAAACUCUUAAAGAAAUUCAGACUCUCUUAAUGGAAGCAGAAAAUAUGGCACUAAAACGAUGCAAUUUCUCUGUUCCCUUAGUUCCUUUCAGAGAUGUUAGUGAUGUUUCAUUUGUACAAUCAAAGAAGGUGGUUUGCUUCAAAGAAACCCCCACAUCUGAUGUUUGUAUCCAGAAGGACUCAUUUGCAGAGGAAGUCCCACACACUAAGUAUGUACAGAAGGACAUCGGUACACAGACGAACCUUAAGUACCAGAGGAAUGUUAGAAAUUGGGAAUUUAUUAGUUCAGCUACCUUUAGAAGUCCUCUACAUGAAGCAAAUGGCACAGCUCGAGUGGCAUUUGAUGAAAAUUUCAGGCAAUAUAGAGCUACCAGGUCUGUAAUGAGGUCUGAACCUGAAGACUGCAGCACAGGCAUUGGGGAUAAAAUUAUUAUCCCUAUGAUGACAAUCAUAAAGAGUGACUCGAGUAGUGAUGUAAGUGAUGGUUGCUGCUCAUGGGACAAUAAUUUACCAGAGUCUUUGGAAUCUGUUUCUGAUGUUUUUCUAAACUUCUUUCCGUAUACUUCACCCAAGACAAGCAUAACAGAUAGCCGAGAAGAGGAGGGCUUGUCAGAGAGUGAAGAUGGCUAUGGUAGUGCAGAUUCAUUGGCUGCACAUGUGAAGUACCUUCUGCAGUGUGAAUCCUCACUGAAUCAAGCCAAACAGAUACUUAAGAAUGCAGAAGAGGAGGAAUAUCGAGUCCGAGCCCAAGCCUGGAAUCUAAAGUUCAAUUUAGGACGUGACUAUGGAUACCCCGUUUCAGAGUUAAAUGAAGAUGACAGGAGGAAAGUAGAAGAGAUAAAGGCAAAGUUGUUUGGUCAUGGAAGAACAACUCACGUGUCUGAGGUCUUACAGAGUCCACGAGGAAUAGGAUGUUUGCCUGAAGCUGUAUGUGGUCACAUUAUUAUUGAGAGCCAUGAGAAAGGAUGUUACAGGACUCUUACUGCUGAACAACCACGACCAGACAGCUGCCAUUGUGUUUUUCGAUCUGUUGAUCCUUCAGACUUGAUUAGAGGACAUCGGAGCCCAUCAUCAUGGAGAGGCAGGCACAUCAACCUUUCCAGAUCGAUAGAUCAGAGCAAUCCCCAUUUCAAAAUAGGGAAUUCCUUUCAGUUACAGAGUCAUCCCCCAUUUGAAAAACUUGUACCUGAUGACAUCAAAAUUAGCAAGGGUGUUGGAAUGCCAUUCCAUGAACACAUGGAUCCCCAGCCAUCAGAAUUAAUAGAACCUACUUGUGUGCCAGCUAAAGAAAUGGAUUUUUCUUCCUCUUCUGAAAUACUGCCCUCUGAACCCAAGAAGCAGUUCACCACUUCCAUCACUUUUUCUUCUCACCAACACUCUAAGUGCAUUUCUGAUUCCUCUGGUUUUAAGGUUGAUGUUACUGCAGGUAGCCAGUGUACUGGGCCAUCUUUAGGGGUGUUUAAGCCUCAUAUCCCUGAAGAGCAGAUUUCUCCUAGAGAUCUUAAACAGAAAAUCUCGUCCCCUUCAUCACUUCAAAGGCAUAGUUACACACCAGUGACUAUUUUAGUUGACAGUAGUAGGCAAAGACAAAAAUUACCUGUUGAUUUUGAGCAUUCUAAUCAAAAAGGAAAACUCUUACAAAGAUCAGCUUUUAAUUUUAGCCAUUCUGAACCCAGUGUCAGUACAAAUGUUAGUUUCAAGGGAGUUCAAUUUUCUGGUAACGAUACCAUCGUUAGGCAGGACAAAUUAAUUUCCACAGUUGAGGUAAAAGAGAAGAAUGUAACUUUAACUCCUGAUCUUCCUUCUUGCAUUUUUCUUGAGCAAGGAGAAGAAAGCCACACCCCACACACAGAUCUUCAUAUGAGGAAGUGCCCUUCUCCCUCUGGUCUAGACAUUGCUUCUUGCAUUUUUCUUGAGCAGCACAAAUUCUUUGAGCAAAGCCAAGGCCAGCAUGUAGAUGAUCAUGAAAUGAGAGAAGACUACUCUCUCUUCCCUAAGUGCCAGGGUUACAUAGCUGCAGACCCUUCUGACUUUCCUGAUCAGCAGCAAUGCAAACCUCCAGGUGUAGAUGGCCACGUGAGAAAACAGCACUAUCCUCUUUCUCCAGUUCAGGAUUGUGAGGUAGAAGAGGUUCAGUGUAUACCCCAAUCAUACUUUUCUAAUAUGGUAAAUGUUGAAGCCAAGGUCAGUGAUAUGGUCUCCCCUGACGCCCCUGACCACUUUACAGCAGCAUCUACUCCACCUUCAAGUAGAAAAGCACUUUCAUGUGUUCGCAUAACUCUUUGUCCCAAGACUCCUUCCAAGUUGGAUAGUGGAACCUUAGACGAAAGGUUUCAUUCAUUGGAUCCUGCUUCUAAAACAAGGAUUAAUAGUGAGUUUAACUCUGAUCUUCGAAUUAUAUCUUCAAGGUCAUUGGAACCAACCUCCAAAUUACUGACCUGUAAACCAGUAGCACAGGAUCAAGAAUCUUUAGUUUUUCUAGGACCUAAAUCUCCACUGGACUUGCAAGUCGCAGAGUCUUCUCUUCCAGAUAGUAAGACUAUUUCUCAGGACUUGAAAACCACACCUCCUCAGAAUAGCCAGAUAGUAACCUCAAGGCAAACACAAGUGAACAUUUCAGAUUUGGAAGAAUAUUCCAAACCAGAGGGGACUCCAGUACCUGCAGAUGGUUCACAAGAACAGAAUAAGGCUCCCUUUACUACAUCCUCUGGAAUGUUAUCAUCUGAUGCAGUCACUCAGGUAACAACAGAAAGUCCAGAAAAGAUGACAUUUUCAUCUGAAAUUUUUAUUAAUGCUGAUGAUCGUGGACAGGACAUUCCAUACCCCACGACCCAAAAUCCAUCCAGGUUUGCCUCCUCUUCCUCAGGGCAGCAAAUCACAGCUUCUCAGGGCAAAGACGCCCAGCCUGUGUUGUUGCCAUAUAAGCCAUCUGGUAGUUCGAAGAUGUACUAUGUUCCACUGUUAAAACCAGUUCCGUCAUAUCUGGAUUCCAAAUCAGAUACUACUGUUGAGAGCUCACAUUCAGGCUCCAAUGAUGCUAUUGCCCCAGACUUUCCACCUCAAGUGCUAGGCACAAGAGAUGAUGACCUCUCCACCACUGUAAACAUUAAGCACAAAGAAGGGAUCUAUAGCAAGAGGGCUGCAUCAAAGGGGAAACAACCCUCUCAGAAAGGUAAUGCAGAGGCCCCAGUUCAAAUGCCUGUAACUUGGGAUAAGAAUGUCUAUAAGGAAAACCAAGACGAGAUCAUCAGUAGAAGAGUUGUGAUCGAGACGGCAGGACCUGAAGAAAUGCCAUCCCAGGAGAAGGACCUUGCAGGAUCCAGUGAUAUCACUGUGCAAGACAGAAAAACUGGAAAUCUGCCAGACGCUAAAUCCAUUAAACAGAAGGAAGGAUCCUUAGAGAUAGAGUCUCUUCAUUUUUCCAGGUGGCAAACCGUAUAAUGUCUUCUGACUCUGUUUCAUCUGCUGGUAGUUGUUUGAGCUUGGACUCUACUCUGUCCAAUGAGGAAAAUGUGCACAUGUUGAAUAAGGGUGUACAAGCUGGUAACUUGGAGAUUGUGACUGGUGCCAAAAAAUACACUCAGGAUGUUGGGGUGACUUUCCCAACGCCCAGUUCUAGUGAGGCCAGAUUGGAAGAGGAUAGUGAUAUGACUUCUUGGUCAGAAGAAAAAGCCAAAGAGAAAAAGUUCCUUUCCAACUAUCUGCGGGGCAAAAACUUAAGGAAAAACAAGCCAAAUCCCUGUGAAGGAGUCUCAUGGUUUGUUCCUGUGGAAAACAGAAAGUCUGAAUCUAAGAAGGAAAACCUGCCCAAGAUUUACAGACCUGCUAUCUCCUGGUUUGAACCAGUAACCCAAACCAAACCCUGGAGGGAGCCACUGAGGGAACAAAACUGGCAGGCACAAUGCAUGAACAGUCGUGGGUCCCUGGGAGGCCCAGGCAGGGAUAGUGGCCAGAGUUUUCUUCAGCCAUUUGUGAGAGCAACCCUGCAGUCUGAAGCUACUAGUCCAGGAGAGGAAGCUACAGAACCUGUUCCAGAUUCUCUUGGCAGUCCAGAAGAACAAAAGAAGAGAGAAGAGGAGAAGAGAAAAUCAGAAUAUACAUCCUACCGGCUACGAGCUCAGCACUAUAAAAUG
rnacentral:lncRNA from 1 species